UCUUGUCUGCAUGUGCUAGAAGGAGCUCCUCCAGGCCAUGGCUCCCUUCUGCCAGCCCCAUUUCUAGACAGAAUCACUUUUGAAGGUUUUCCUUACAGUAUGAAUACCUUAAACUGGACUGAUACCAGCCUCUCAAUUCAGAUGAACAGAUGCACAAGUUUAAGGAUGUCCCUGACCAAACAACUCAGCUACUGAGUGGCUCUCCCAUGCCUCCGGUGGAAUGACUUGCCCUGAAGCCAGUUCCUGAUUUUUCCUCCUGGAAAUGUCAUUAAUUGCCAGAUCUGUUAGGAAUUUCAGUAGAAAGGCUGAAGAUCCUUUGGGCACGAUGGCUUUCCUCAAAAAGUGAUUCUUUGCAAACCAAGGUGGGAGCAUGUACAAAUAUUAAAAGGUGAAUGUAUGCAUGCAGAGAGAUCAGAGCCUCUCCACUGCAUGGAUGAUAGAUGGUCUGCUGGUGGGCUUCAUUUAAUCUCUUGAACCUCCUUUCUGCCACAUGGCCAACAGGCAGUUUUAAAGGAAACAGGAAAUCAAAUGUGACAUAAUUGCAAAAGAAAUGGUUUCCCAUGAAGUGAUCUAAUGUCUUUAGGCCUAUAGA